rnacentral:rRNA from 1 species
AUGACCGCCUUUCGGGGUUGUAAACCUUCUUUCAGCCAGGCGACGAAGCUGCAUGUGUCCCUUGCAGAAGAAGCGCCGGCCAAAGUAGGCCCCAGCAGCCGGCGGUAAUACGUAGGGGGCCAAGCUUUUUCCGGAAAUUAUUGGGCGUAAAGACCUCGUAGGUGCCUGGUCGCGUCUGCCGGGAAAGCCCUGCAGCUUAACUGCGGGUCUGCGGUGGAUACGGCCCGGCUAGAGGUAGGUAGGGGCAAGUGGAAUUCCUGGUGUAGCGGUGAAAUGCGCAGAUAUCUUAGGAGGAACACCGGUGGCGAAGGCGGCUUGCCUGGCGCCUUACCUGACGCUUACGAGGAGCGAAAGCGUGGGGAGCGACUACAGGAUUAGACUACCCUGGUAGUCCACGCUGUAAACUGUUGGGCGCUAGGUGAUGGGAGAUCUUCCACCAUCUCCGUGCCGGAGCUAACGCAUUAAGCGCAGCCCGCAUGCUGGGAAGUACGGAGCCGCAAGGCUAAAGGACUCAAAGGAAUUGACGGGGGCCCGCACAAGCGGCGGAGCAUGUUGCUUAAUUCGACUUUGCAACGCGAAGAACCUUACCAAGGUUUGACAUCACCCGGAAAGCUCUGGAGCACAGGGCCCUCUUCGGACUGGGUGACAGGUGGUGCAUGGCUGUCGUCAGCUCGUGUCGUGAGAUGUUGGGUUAAGUCCCGCAACGAGCGCACCACCCUUGCUCCAUGUUGCCAGCACGCCCUUCGGGGUGGUGGGGACUCAUGGGGGACUGCCGGGGUCAACUCGGAGGAAGGUGGGGAUGACGUCAAGUCAUCAUGCCCCUUAUGUCUUGGGCUGCAAACAUGCUACAAUGGCCGGUACAGAGGGUUGCGAUACCGUGAGGUGGAGCGAAUCCCUAAAAGCCGGUCUCAGUUCGGAUUGGGGUCUGCAACUCGACCCCAUGAAGUCGGAGUCGCUAGUAAUCGCAGAUCAGCAAUGCUGCGGUGAAUACGUUCCCGGGCCUUGUACACACCGCCCGUCACGUCACGAAAGUCGGCAACACCCGAAGCCCGUGG